rnacentral:rRNA from 1 species
AAGUCGUAACAAGGUUUCCGUAGGUGAACCUGCGGAAGGAUCAUUACUGUGGGGUGAGUCCCUGUGGCUCCCCUACUAAGAUAUCACCUUUUGUCUAUGAGUACCGUGUGUUUCCUCGGCGGAUCGAGACCGCCAAUGGGGACUUUACCAAAACCUUUGUAAUUGCAAUACCUUCAGAGAUACUUUAAUUAUCAAAACUUUCAACAAUGGAUCUCUUGGCUCUGGCAUCGAUGAAGAACGCAGCGAAAUGCGAUAAGUAGUGUGAAUUGCAGAAUUCAGUGAAUCAUCGAAUCUUUGAACGCACAUUGCGCCCCUUGGUAUUCCAUGGGGCAUGCCUGUUCGAGCGUCAUCUACACCCUCAAGCUCUGCUUGGUGUUGGGCGUCUGUCCCGCCCCCGCGCGUGGACUCGCCCCAAAUCCAUUGGCAGCGUUCCUUGCCCCCUCUCGCGCAGCACAUUGCGCUUCUCGAGGGCGGCUCCGGGACGCGAUCCAGCAAGAUGACCACCGUCUUUGACCUCGGAUCAGGUAGGGAUACCCGCUGAACUUAA